GUGACCUAUCCAUGGCCAGGAUGAAGCGGAAGUAAAAUUCCGUGGAGGUCCGAACCACGUUGGUGUUGAAAAACCAUGGGAUGAGCUGUGGAUAGCGGAGAAAUUCCAAUCGAACUCGGAGAUAGCUGGUUCUCCUCGAAAUAGCUUUAGGGCUAGCGUCGGGUAAUUGAGUAGUGGAGGUAGAGCACUGAAUGGGCUAGGGGCUGACAACAGUUACUGAACCCUAUCAAACUCCGAAUGCCAUAUACUUGUACCCCGGCAGUCAGACUACGAAUGAUAAGAUCCGUGGUCAAAAGGGAAACAGCCCAGACCAUCAGCUAAGGUCCCAAAGUGUAAGUUAAGUGGGAAAGGAUGUGGGAUUUCUAAGACAACUAGGAUGUUGGCUUAGAAGCAGCCACUCAUUUAAAGAGUGCGUAAUAGCUCACUAGUCGAGAGAUCCUGCGCCGAAGAUGUAACGGGGCUCAAACUUACCACCGAAGCUAUGGAUGUGUACUAUGUACACGUGGUAGAGGAGCUUUCUGUACAGGUUGAAGUCAUACCGUAAGGAGUGGUGGACAGUACAGAAGUGAGAAUGCUGGCAUAAGUAGCGAAAAACAAGUGAGAAUCUUGUUGACCGAAUAUCUAAGGUUUCCUGGG
rnacentral:rRNA from 2 species